AAACAUGUGCAAAUGUUCCUUUUGCAGAAGACAAAGGCAUAAGAUUCCCUAACAGCCUUUGACUACUUCGUUUUUACCCAAAAGUGCAAUACUUUAAUAUCUAUCUACCCACUUGACCUGUGUAUGGACCACAAUUCAACAAACCCCACAACCUAACUAUUAUUAACUCCACUACCAGAAUUAAAAACCACUAUAAAUCCAGCACACUUAUACCCAACAUUUUUCAAAACCCUAAACACUAUUACAAGAAAAAAUCACUUACCGUAGUCUGGAGGAGCAUCGUCCCUGUACCGACGACGAAAAGCCAUUUCAUCAACCACUUCUGCUUUCUCAGUCUUCCUCUUCAACUUCUAUGCCGUGUUUCUGGGUUUCCUUUGAUUUUUCGAUAAUGGGUAUGGGGUUCUUACAGUGGUUCGGGUUCGUGUUCCCUUUUAUUUCCAAACAGUGUCUUCGACUUCUUUCGAUUUCGCAAAAAACGGUUUGGGGUUCUCUCCUUACACUGUUAAAGACCAAGGUUUUAAACGGUACAAUGCCACGUAAUUUCGAUUUGCAGACUGGGCACUUGGGCUAACCAGCCACAUAAGCAGAAAACGGGGUCAGUUAGACGGGGGAGUGUAUUUGCUAACGGACCAGUGGUUUAGGUAGUAUUACCACCAAAAUUUUAGAUUUGGGGGUUAUGUGCAAAACCCUCUCCACUUUAGGGGGUUUUGCCGCAAAUAACCCUUUUUUUUUUACAAUCUAUGUUAUUUUAUUCCUUUAAUAAUAAAACUAGUAAAGAAAAUAAAAAAGAAAGAAAGAAUUAGUCAGGCAAAAUCAUAAAGAAAAAAUGUAUAUUAUUAUCAUUAAUGAAUAAUAAUACAAAUUCACUUUUCUCUCUAA